ACUCAGAGAAGCAGAAGAAAGUGUGAGACACUGCUCACCCCCUCCAGGACUUCAUCAUCCCAGUCGGCCAUGAAAACGUACAUAAAAUAGUGAUAAGCUGCAGCACAAAAACAUAUUCCAAAUUCACAUGGGUGGUGCAGAUGAGACCUAUCUCUGGGACUCCCUGUGGGCUGGGAUGAUCUGGGAAGGCUUCCUGGAGGAGGUGUGAAAGCUGCCUGCUCUGCUGCUCUGGUCACUUCUUCAGGUCUUCAUUCUUUUGUGAAAGCUCCCAUGUACAUGCGAACAUUCAAAAAAUGUGUUUAAAUGUGCCUGCUUUCCUCCUGUUAACUUGUCUUUGUCAGUUUAACUUUUGGACCCAGCCAGGGACCCUGUGAGAGUUGAGGAAAAUGUUUUCCUCCUUUACAGACUCCAGUUCAUUUGCAGAAACCCCAGUGACCACAGGCAUGACCCAGGAGGCCCCAGUGACCACAGCCGUGACCUGGGAGGCUGCAGAAGAGCCCGUGAAUGGCCUGAGCCAGGCCACUAUGGUGUCUGAAAAAUGGUGCUGGGCUGCAUCCGCCCACGGGAGAGACAAGAGUAGAC
ensembl:lncRNA